UUCAUAGUUUUCUUGGAGGCUUUGGAUGUAGGAGUUUUGAUUUUACUGUCUUCCGAGUAUGUUCUGAUCUUCCUUGUCACCAUAGUAACUUUCUGUGGUCAGAAAUUUUUUUUUUCAUUAUUUGAUCAUUUUUCUAUCCUAUUUCUUGACUUUUGACUCUUUGCUAAAGUAGGGCUUUGAUUUCAGGUUGGAAAACAUACUGUCCAAGUUUCAUGGGUUUUGUGCAACUAUUUGUAGAAAUACUUUUAGGUACAUGUAAAUUUUCAGUUCUUCCAAGGAGGUAUAAUCUAAGAAGAGGUGUAUUUACUCUCUCCUGUGUUUACUACAACCAAAAGCAAUCUUUUCUGCAUUGGAUCUAUGGCCAGGGGCCUUACUCUACUAGGACCAUAUGCACUGAUAUGCUAUUACUUCUCACCUUGGAGGUGUCAUCCAUAACUGUGUCUCAGAUCUGAGUAUGAGCAAAAGAAUUAACCCCCUGCUAAAAAAGAGACUCCUGUAUUCUCCUUCUGACCAGUUGUUUGACCCCCUUACUUGCUGUGUAAGGGCUGAGAGCGUUGGAAUUAGCCAUGUCUGCUGCUGAUUCAGUGGCCCCCAAAUCUUGUUCCUGGUUUGCUAAGGCUUGGUCUGGUUUGGCACAGUCUACACUAUAUGUGCCGUGCCUUUCCUGCCAACUUUCUAAAUUGUUUUUGAAUGGAAAAUUAUUUCACCCUGUCUUUUUGUGCCACUCCCGAAUUUGUUUUAGGGCAUUACUUACAGAUUUUCUGAAGAGUUUGGAUGAGAGCUCAGGCAAGUCCCUGAUUGCUCUGCCAUCUUGACUCUUGGACAAUUAAAGAACUCAUUUUUACGUUAAAAUAUUAAUAAAAUAAACAUGAAAUACAUGAACAUUUAGUAAUAGAUUACUAUAUCAAGAUACAGAUUAUAUAUAUUAUUAUUUACGAAAGUUAAAUAUUUGCACAAUUUGGUCACCAUCAUAUCAGAUGGCAAAGAGUGAAAUAGGCCUAGAAACUUGUUAGAAAAAUUCCUUUGUCCAGUUCAGAAGGAAAUCAGAUCUUUGUAACUCCAUCAUGUCCUGGCAGAAUUCAAAUUCUUUGUGAAUUCAUUUGAAUUUAGACUGCUACUAGAAGCUUAAAGUCUUAUCCAAAGUGAGAUUGGAUUUCUAUUCCUUUGAUCUGAAAUUCUGAAAGUUCCUGACUAGGUUUUGGACUUAAGUAACACAAAUCUAAGUUUGCCUUCUAGUUAAGAACUCUGACCCCGUUAUCAGAUAGCUGGGAGGUUCUACACGGUCCCAGCAGCCUUGAUUUGAGGUCCCUGCCCUGAUUUUACCACAAUAGGCUUCAGAAUAGGUUGGGGGCAAGAAUUAAGACUAGUCGGCUUCAGGAGUCAGAAUCCCACAGCUCAGCUAUUUGCUUUUUAUUCCUAUUUCUUGUUCAUGAUAGAAAUUAACUACUGUUUCUUGUGCUAAUCUACCCUGAACCACUAACUGCAGGUCUUCUUCCCAGUCUGUAUUGCAUUUAUGACUCAGCUCUGAUUUAGGUGACACAGCUGCCACUUAGCAUCUGUGAUUACUUCCUAGAUAACGAGGCUCCUACAGACUGGACCUGGAAUCCAGGAAAUUUUGCUUUAUUACAUAGUUUCAGUCCCCAUUUAAGCUGGACAGCUCACUAUUGUUAAUGCUUCAAAGGCACUGAUGAGAUUCUGAUGGGAUAUUUAUUGUGAUAGACUAAUAUUUGUUUAGGCCAUGGAGGAUACCUGAAAUGCAUUGGUUUGCUUUUGGCUGUAGGAUCCUGCUUUGAAGUUUCCCCAUGACUCUUAGAAUCAUAAGUUGAGAGGGAUCUCACGAGUCACCGACUGAGGGAAAUGAGUGUCUCUCAUAUUAAUAACAAUUCUUAAAUUGGGGAGAGCCCAACUUUUUCUCCCAAUCCUAUUUUCUUGUAUAAUCUCUCAAGAGUGGGGCUGAUAGAAAAUAAGAUUAACAUUCUCCUCAUUCUGAGUAUUGGUAUUUCACCCAACUAGCUCAGGCUUAGGUGGGGAUAUGGAUUUUGUCUAGAUUGCCCAAGGGCAGGGGUAGUCUGAGUACAAAGAUAGUCUUGAAGGAGGUUUUUUCCUUUAAGGAUUUUCAGAGUUUUGGGGUUCCCUCUUCAGUCUGACCAAGAGUUACAUGACUGCACUCUCAGCCUCUCACCGUAAUGAAUUCUCUUCUCUUUGAAAAGUCCACCUCUCAUUAACUGUUAAUCAAUCAGAAUUGAUUGCCACACUCAGGAAUACUCUUCUUCCAAAAGGCAUAUAAGUAGCGAACCUGCUCUAGUGAUUGCCUUUAGUAUUGAUGAGCUCCAUUGACGAUUUAUUUAAAAUGCUGGCAUUAUAUUUGAUUCAUUUACCCAGAAAUGGUCUCUCAGACUUUUAAAAUCCCAUAAUUUUCUGAUUCCAUGAAGGAAUCAGAACUUUGUAUUCCUAGAUUCUUGACCAAAAAACUCAUGUUUGGACUACAUGAAAUGUUUUUCCACUUUGGGAGUUCUCUGUUGGGAAUCUGGCUAUGAUCUGACUCCUUUUUACCUUUUACUUUUUAUCUGUCUCUCUUUUUAAUUAUGUACUGUUUGAAUUUUCAAUCUCAUUAGGACAUACUCCUAUAGAACUGGCUGUGGGGAAAGAUUGUAUAUGCAAAUGAGACCACCUGAGAAAGUUUUUAAAAGAACUUAUUUUUGUUUGUGUGGUAAGGGUCACUGCCCAUCUCCCAUAUUCUAAUAGGUGAAGCAUAGCAAGGUAGAAAGGAAGGCAUAUAUGAUUUAAUUGGAAAACUGUUUUUUAGAUAAUAGAAAAGAUAUCUCUUUUUAAGGAGGCUGGCAAGCCUUUUGUAAAUUGUUAAAUGGGCUUGAGAACCAAAAUGGAGGACACGGAUGUGUGGGAUGGUGUGUUAGACUGCUCCUCACCCAAAUUGACUACUCUGGAGGCAUCUCCAGAUAUAAACAGGAAGCAUUUAUUCAUUCUUGCAAGGAGAGGCUCAAGCACCCCAGUUGAGCAGUCCAGCAUGGUGUGUGGAAAUGAUGCCGGGUCAUUACGUUAAAACGUACAACUGGUAAUUACCGUAUGUGAAACAAAGUGGAUGGGUGAAGCAACAUUGGAAGAACUCCAUAGUAGACUAAGGAAGAAACAAUGCAAAAAGGGAUAUUGAAAAUUUGCCCUCGAUUGGACAGAUGGAGCCCUUAGAAAACAAGAACUGCUUGCUGGUCCAGACAACACUUUUGGAGUUUGUAAUUCCAGGAGAAAUGGUACUUAUUAAGUCCUUGAAGGAACAGAGUGGGAAGGACCUUAUCAAAUGUACUGAUGAUCGACACUGUGAUCAGGGAGGCUGAGAAGAGAUGUUCUCAUUGCACCAUUGUUAAAGGGCCUGUGGAAGAAUCUCAAGAAUGGAUUGUUAUGGACAAUUUAUAACCUCUAAAAUUGACUUUGCUCCAAGGCAAUUAGGAAUGUUUUGGUAGGAGGGGUACUUAAUCAUGUAUGAAGGAAUUUUAACAACAUUGGUGUUGCAUUUAUUAUUUAUAUGUCCAGAAAAAUUUAUAGGGACUCCUUGAUUGGAGGAAGUUGAAUUAACACUUUUUAGGAUGAAAAAAUUAUUAAUGUUGAUUUUGAUAGGGUUUUUUUUUUAAUGCAAAAUUAGGACAGACCCACCCAUUUCUAUAUUCUCUCCCUCUUAAUACAUUAGGGCAGCUGGCAGAGAAAAUGACUGGUGCCAGCCACUGAAUUAUGGCCAUAGUACCCUCCAGUCUGACCUGAAUUUUCAGUAACUAGUCAGAGGUAAGAGAUGGUACUGGAUUUUGGAUUGAGUUUGAAAGGCAUAGUUGGUCCCUUGCUAAACAAACACAGGAUAUAUCAAAAAGCAUAUCUCACAAAAAUCCUAAGGAUAGUUGGGCUUGAAUAGUCAGGAACAUCAAGAUCAGCCCCUUCUCUGAUUGAAGCCUCUGUUGAUUCCCUUUAUUUUGAAAGUUACUAUGUUUCUUGAAACCAUCUUGCCAGUCCUGGGGGAAAAAAAAUUAGUUUUGGUUUUAUACCAACAAGGAAUGGGUUUAUUGAUAAUCUACAAAUUUGUUACAUAUAAAUGAUUUCUAAUGUUUAUCUCUUACACCAGAAUGAAUUUUAACUCAGGAAGGAAAAAAAAGGGGAGAAAAGGGUCAAAGAUGUUAAAUGAAAUCUCUUAUGUAUGUGAAGUUUAGUAAACUUUGUUUAAUUGGCUAUAUUAAGUCAACUUGAAGCUGUUCUCAUUAUUUAAAGGAUUCUGAUAAUAUUGUCUUUGUCCCUUUGAACAUGGCUAAUAAUUGAACAUAUUUUUUGCUAUAGACAAUAUGCAAUUUUAGAAUUUUUAUUUUUCUAAAAAUUGAAUGGUUAUUGGUUAUUGAGCAUCUUAAAGCAAAAUGAUUUGUGUAAUGUUGAAUUUAAAACAUCUACUUAGAUAUGAAAAUAAAUCUCUUAUUGUUAUCAAUGUAAAAUUAUAUUUAAUAAUUAAUUUAGGAUAUGUAAUUCUUGAGAGCUAAAACCACCUGAAGCUUUGAUUAAUGAAACUUGCUGUUAAGAUGAAAUCUCUUGGGACUGUAACUGAUAUUAUUUGAAGGUUUGAAUUCAGGUAUGAAUGUAUAAUCCAUCAUCCAAGAGAAAUAAUGCCACAGCUAACUCGGAGGAAUGUGAUCCUGAACUGUUAGAGGUGGAGGUUUGUAUCUGGAAAAAAGUUGGGAGGACAAUCUUGAUCUCUGCUUAAGGUGGGAUCCUUCUGACUCAGUUUCCUCAAUGUGUACCUUUGAAUAGGAACCCACCUAAUUAUUCCCUGUGUUUGGCUAUAAGGUGGAAUUGUUAUUACACGAUUGGUUGUCAUCUGUGACUAUUACCUAAAGGCAAACUGAGCUAAGGAUGCUUUAUUUUGUCAUGUAUAUGCCUUCAGAUGAAAGUCUGAAGAACCAGUUUUGAUAUUAUAAUCAUGCCCUUGCCUUUUUCUUCUUAUGUCAAGUUUCUUUAAUCAGAGCAAGUGGUCAAUAGAAGCCAUGAAUACAAUUCAAGUAUGUCAGAUCUUGCAGUUUUCAAUCUGAAAAUGUCAUUAUAUCCUAAAUAAGUAGAUAAAUGAAUAUUUGCCUGUCAUCUAUUUAUUGUUCAAUGCAUAUGUAUGUAUGAAAAGAUGUUAUUAUUAAAGGUUUCAAAAUAAUGCAAGAAUAACUUAUAAAACUAUCUGUG